rnacentral:misc_RNA from 1 species
AGUGAGGGAGAAACCAAGUCGGUUGAUGUUUUGUUUUCUCAGGGGGACGUUAGGUGCGGUAUCCCUGCACCCUGUACUACCGGUAUACCUGCAUCUUGUACCACGAGUCAAACUAGUGCGUUUUCUGCAAUUGGUAGGAGUACAGUAUUUGAAGGUAUGAUGAAUGGGCGUGGAGCAGCACCUGGAAAGCCGAGUCAGGGAUAUGCAAAUGUUGGUUAUGGAAGCAACAUGGGAGGUGCAUGGGGAAAUUCACAUAUGAAUCGAGGGGCGCCUUUCAGUGGUAACAAUCCAGUGUGGGAUAGCCAUCGUAGGUAUGCAGGGGAAAGGUCUGGUGGUCCAAGAGACUGG